GCCAGACUCCUACGGGAGGCAGCAGUGGGGGAUAUUGCACAAUGGGGGGAACCCUGAUGCAGCGACGCCGCGUGGGUGAAGAAGCGCCUCGGCGCGUAAAGCCCUGUCAGCAGGGAAGAAAAUGACGGUACCUGAAGAAGAAGCCCCGGCUAACUACGUGCCAGCAGCCGCGGUAAUACGUAGGGGGCAAGCGUUAUCCGGAUUCACUGGGUGUAAAGGGAGCGUAGACGGCGACGCAAGUCUGGAGUGAAAGCCCGGGGCCCAACCCCGGGACUGCUCUGGAAACUGCGGCGCUGGAGUACGGGAGGGGCAGGCGGAAUUCCUGGUGUAGCGGUGAAAUGCGUAGAUAUUAGGAGGAACACCGGCGGCGAAGGCGGCCUGGUGGACCGUAACUGACGUUGAGGCUCGAAAGCGUGGGGAGCAAACAGGAUUAGAUACCCCAGUAGAA
rnacentral:rRNA from 1 species